GCCACUGCAGUCACUUCGCCCCACACAGUCUUCAGCCUCAGGGUCGUGCCGACAGCAGCCAUGAGUGGCGGCGUGUACAGGGGAGAUGAAGUUGAAGCCCUUGUUUCUGACAUUGGAUCCUAUAAUGUGAGAGCUGGUUAUGCUGGUGAGGACUGCCCCAACGUAGAUUUCCCCACAGCCAUUGGUAUGGUAGUGGAAAGAGAUGAUGGAAGCACGUUGAUGGAAAUAGAUGGUGAUAAAGGCAAACAAGGCGGUCCCACAUACUAUAUAGACACAAAUGCCCUGCGUGUUCCCAGAGAGAAUAUGGAGGCAAUUUCACCACUGAAAAAUGGAAUGGUUGAAGACUGGGAUAGUUUCCAGGCUAUUUUGGAUCAUACCUAUAAAAUGCAUAUCAAAUCAGAAGCCAGUCUACAUCCUGUUCUAAUGUCUGAAGCACCGUGAAAUACUAGAGCAAAAAGAGAGAAGCUGACAGAGUUAAUGUUUGAACACUACAACAUCCCUGCAUUCUUCCUGCGUAAAACUGCAGUUUUGACAGCAUUUGCUAAUGGUUGUUCUACUGGGCUAAUUUUAGAGAGGGGAGCCACACAUACCACUGCAAUUCCUGUCCAUGAUGGCUACGUCCUUCAGCAAGGUAUUGUGAAAUCACCCCUUGCUGGAGAUUUUAUUACUAUGCAAUGCAGAGAACUCUUUCAAGAAAUGAAUAUAGAAUUGAUUCCUCCGUAUAUGAUUGCAUCAAAAGAAGCUGUUCGUGAAGGAUCUCCAGCAAAUUGGAAAAGAAAAGAGAAGCUGCCACAGGUUACCAGGUCAUGACACAAUUACAUGUGCAAUUGUGUCAUGCAGGAUUUCCAAGCUUCAGUACUUCAAGUGUCAGAUUCAACUUAUGAUGAACAAGUAACAGCACAAAUGCCAACUGUUCAUUAUGAAUUCCCCAAUGGUUACAACUGUGCAGAACGACUUAAAAUUCCUGAAGGAUUAUUUGACCCUUCCAAUGAAAAGGGGUUAUCAGGAAAUACAAUGUUGGGAGUCAGUCAUGUUGUCACCACAAGUGUUGGAGUGUGUGAUAUUGACAUCAGACCAGGUCUCUAUGGCAGUGUGAUAGUAGCAGGAGGAAACACGUUGAUACAAAGUUUUACUGAUAGGUUGAAUAGAGAGCUUUCUCAGAAAACUCCCCCAAGUAUGUGAUUGAAAUUGAUUGCAAAUAACACAACGGUGGAACGAAGGUUUAGUUCAUGGAUGGUGGCUCCAUUCUAGCUUCUUUGGGCACCUUUCAACAGAUGUGGAUUUCAAAGCAAGAAUAUGAAGAAGAGGGGAAGUAGUGUGUAGAAAGGAAAUGCCAUUGA